rnacentral:lncRNA from 1 species
UCAGAAGGGUUGACCCUACAUACUCUAAGAAGUUGUUAAGGACUGCCCAACAGGUCUACCACUUUGCUUUGCAGUACCAAGGUUCUUACAGUGAUUCACUUGGAUCAGCAGUUUGCCCAUUUUACUGCUCAUAUUCUGGUUUCAAGGUAAAACCAUUUUAUAGUUAGUUGCUUCUGUGUUCCUUCCUAUUAUUUUUUUCCUUUCAGUCAAAAUUGAGUGGUUGGUGUGCAUUACUAGGAGAAAAUAAGAGUUUAAUUUCUAUUCAGUGUCAGUCUAAAGCAUUUUACAUAGUCAAUCAAUAAAAAAUCAUAGGUGUUACAUUUAAAACAGCUAUUGAAAAAGUUAACAAACUCAUUAUAAAAAUUUAUGAUGGGAUGAAAAUGUAAAAAAACAUGUAUACUAACAGUGCAUAAUAAGACUAAUUACUUGGAAAAUAGUGUGGUCUUACUAAGCUUUGUUUAUUUUCAGGAUGAACUGUUGUGGGGUGCUGCAUGGCUUUUCAGAGCAACAAAUGCUGUUUACUACUACA